UGGGGAUCAUAUUUAGGCAGCCAUUUCCCCACUAUGUUUUGUGGGAUGUUGUUUUUGUGUUGUUGCCUUUGAGCACUUCAUUUACAUCACGUUCGGUGUUUCUUUAUUUUGUAUUGUUCUAAGUUCCACUUCAAUAAAUAUGUGGAACCCAGAUCACGCAGUGCUUUGGUCCGAGUAUGCUUCCAACGAUGAUCGUGACACAUUGUCCAUUUGGAAGACCCAUUUGCAACCAAGCUUUAACUUCCUUACUGAUGUCUUGAGAUGUUGCUUCAAUAUAUCAACAAUUUUCCUUCCUCAUGACGCCAUCUAUUUUGUGAACUGCAUCAGUCCCUCCUGCAGCAAAGCACACCAACAACAUGAUGCUGCCACCCCUGUGCUUCACGGUUGGGAUGGUGUUCUUCGGCUUGCAAGCCUCCCCCUUUUUCCUCCAAACAUAAUGAUGGUCAUUAUGGCCAAACAGUUCUAUUUUUGUUUCAUCAGACCAGAGGACAUUUCUCCAAAAAUUACAAUCUUUGUCCCCAUGUGCAGUUGCAAACCGUAGUCUGGCUUUUUUAUGGCGGUUUUGGAGCAGUGGCUUCUUCCUUGCUGAGAGGCCUUUCAGGUUAUGUUGAUAUAGGACUCGUUUUACUGUGGAUAUAGAUACUUUUGUACCUGUUUCCUCCAGCAUCUUCACAAGGUCCUUUGCUGAUGUUCUGGGAUUGAUGCGCACUUUUCGCACACAAGUACGUUCAUCUCGAGGAGACAGAAUGCGUCUCCUUCCUGAGCGGUAUGAAGGCUGCGUGGUCCCAUGGUGUUUAUACUUGCGUACUAUUGAUUGCACUGAUGAAAGUGGUAUCAGGUGUUUGGAAAUUGCUCCCAAGGAUAAACCAGACUUGUGGAGGUCUACAAUAUUUUUUCUGAAGUCUUGGCUGAUUUCUUUUGAUUUUCCCAUGAGUUUGAAGUUCGAAGGUAGGCCUUGAAAUACAUCUACAGGUACACCUCCAAUAGACUCAAAUUAUGUCAAUUAGCCUAUCAGAAGUUUCUAAAGCCAUGACAUCCUUUCUGGAAUUUUCCAAGCUGUUUAAAGGCACAGUCAAUUUAUUGUAUGUAAACUUCUGACCCACUGGAAUUGUGAUACAGUGAAAUAAUCUGUCUGUAAACAAUUGUUGGAAAAAUUACUUGUGUCAUGCACAAAGUAGAUGUCCUAACCGACUUUCCAGAACUAUAGUUUAUUCACAAGAAAUUUGUGGAGUGGUUGAAAAAUGAGUUUUAAUGACUCAAACCUAAGUGUAUGUAAACUUCCGAGUUCAACAAUAUGUCUCAGUCUGUGAGUCAUGCCGUGGGUAGAGGUCGUUCCCAUGCUGGUUGUGUUGUUUCCCUGCUGGUAGAGGUGGAACUCCACAGAGGUGACUGGAAUGAAGAGGAGGCUUUGGUGUCUGUCUCUACCCUACCGCCUGGUGAGUGAGGUGUCUGUCUCUACCCUACCGCCUGGUGAGUGAGGUUUCUGUCUCUACCCUACCGCCUGGUGAGUGAGGUUUCUGUCUCUACCCUACCGCCUGGUGAGUGAGGUGUCUGUCUCUACCCUACCGCCUGGUGAGUGAAGUGUCUGUCUCUACCCUAUCGCCUGGUGAGUGAGGUUUCUGUCUCUACCCUAUCGCCUGGUGAGUGAGGUGUCUGUCUCUACCCUACCGCCUGGUGACUAAGGUCUUCAAUGUGGAACAGAAACAUCACUAAACAAUGUUAGGCCAGGGAUGACCAGGGGUGUCCUGUGUUAUCUAAACAUUGUGUGUGAGUUAUCUGGAUGUUGUGUGUAUCCUCUGUGCUAGACUGUAGGGAAGAGACGUACCCCUGUACCAGGAUGUACUCUGUCCACCGGCCCAUCAAGAGAUGCAUCCACUCCCUCUGCCUUUACAGCCUCCCUCUAUGUGAUCAACAAGGAGAUAUGUGUUAGAACUGUCUGCCAACAGGAUGAGUACCUGAAGGCUGAGCUCUGCAGGGAGCGGUCCGGCUGGCCCAAACGCUUCCAGAGGUCAACCACCAAUAAGAAACGCUGUCACAAUCGCCGCGGCAAUCCCAAAAUCUGGGAAAACAAGGCCUGAUGGGCCCAAGACGGAGGAGUUAGAAGGAGGGGUGGAGGAGGAAGGAGAGGAGGACAGAAAGAGAGAAGGAGGGGUGGAGGAGGAAGGAGAGAAGGAGUAGGAGGGAGGACACCCUUGGAGACAGAACACUGGGUUGUCUCCAUAAAAAGACCCGGAAACACCAUAAAUUCCCCGCUCAACACCUGGUGCUAGCCUGUGCCUUAAUACACAACCACAACCACGCACGCACACACACAAACAAUAUAUAUUUAAAACACAGUCCACGUGACUCCAGUUAAGAGCAGUCUGAGUCAUAUUUUUCAUUUCUUCUAUUGGACCUGUGUUUUAAUAGAACUGUCUGUGAAUAUCAGGGGAGAAAUCACUCCCCACAGAUUGGACCUGUGUUUUAAUAGAACUGUCUGUGAAUA
ensembl:lncRNA